GAUGAAGAACGCAGCGAAAUGCGAUAAGUAAUGUGAAUUGCAGAAUUCAGUGAAUCAUCGAAUCUUUGAACGCACCUUGCGCUCCCUGGUAUUCCGGGGAGCAUGCCUGUUCGAGUGUCGCGAAAUUCUUCAAGCCUUGGAUGGAUUUUUUUUUGUCUGUCCUUGGGCUUGGUUGUUGGGCUCUGCCGUGUCCUUCAUUGGGACGGCUGGCCUUAAAAGCAUUAGCCGAUCCUCGUGUGGUACUGGUUCUACUCAGCGUGAUAACAAUCUGAUCGUUGAGGACAUCUUCUGGAUGGCCAGUCAUCAUUUGGGUUGCUUCUAAACCGGUUUCGCAGAUUGCUCAAUCUGUGUGCCACUUUUCAGCUUUGACCUCGAAUCAGGUGGGACUACCCGCUGAACUUAAGCAUAUCAAUAAGCGGAGGA
rnacentral:misc_RNA from 1 species